UCUUAUCGUCAAGCUCUGCCAACUGAAGCCAUUUUUCCCACUACUAUGAAGCUAACCGGAAGAAGAAGAAACUAAAUUGAUUAAAAAUGGCCUUGUCGACGGCGAAAUUCACAGAAUUGCCACCACAUUUGUUCUCCUCGUUUUCUACUCCUUCUACUCGACCUGCAUUCUCUCUUUUCCUUAAACCCUUCUCAUCUCUUCGCCGCACCGGCGGCAACACCAGAACCAACAACAGGGAUCAACGGAAACCCUACCGAGAUUCAAAUUCCAAUUCUACCCCUGUGAAGUCCAAGCCAAACAAAUCUCACUCGUCUACUUGGCUAAACAAAUGGCCCAACACAUCUCCUCCAGUAGAACAUUCGUCGUCCAAUUCUAGAACUUUCGAUUCCAACACGGAAACUAAGUACUUCGACGAGAACAAUAGUAGAGUAGGGACCACCGCCAUAGAGAGGAUUGUACUCCGUUUGAGAAACUUAGGAUUAGGCUCUGACGAUGAAAAUGAAGAAGAGGAAAAUUCGAAUUUGAAUUCUAGUUCGGCAGUGCCGAGUAUCGGCGAAGAAGAAAAAUUAGGGGAUUUAUUGAAGAGAGAUUGGGUUCGACCGGAUAUGAUACUAGCAGAGAGUGAUGAUGAUGAGGGAGAUGAUACAUUGUUGCCGUGGGAACGGAGUGUGGAGGAUGGAGAGGUGGUGGUGGAGGAGCAGAGGGGAGGGAAGAGGAGGACAAUGAAGGCACCAACAUUGGCUGAGCUAACAAUUGAGGAUGAGGAAUUGAGGAGGCUGAGGAGAAAUGGUAUGACUUUGAGAGAAAGGGUUAGUGUACCUAAGGCUGGGAUUACAGGAGCUGUGUUGGAGAAGAUUCACGAUGCUUGGAGGAAGAAUGAGCUGGUUAGGCUCAAGUUUCAUGAGGUUUUGGCUCAUGAUAUGAGGACUGGCCACGAGAUUGUUGAGCGUCGAACAGGAGGGCUUGUGAUAUGGAGGGCUGGGAGCGUUAUGGUGGUGUAUCGAGGAAGUAACUAUGAGGGGCCUUCUUCUAGAUCUCGAUCCGUGGAUGAGGACGGCAAUACUCUCUUUGUUCCCGAUGUUUCCUCUGACAAAUCUAUUGCAAAAGACGGCAAAAGCUCUAAUCCAGUUAUUGAAAAUCGUAAUCAAGUUCAUCCUCAUCGUGUCCAAAACAUGACUGAGGAGGAAGCAGAAUUCAAUAGGCUAUUAGAUGGUUUAGGCCCACGUUAUGAAGAUUGGUGGGGUACAGGAGUACUUCCUGUUGAUGCCGAUUUGCUCCCCCAGACAAUUCCUGGCUACAAAACACCAUUCCGGCUUCUUCCUACUGGAAUGAGAUCACGCCUAACAAAUGCAGAAAUGACUAAUUUACGGAAAAUUGCUAAAUCACUUCCUUGUCAUUUUGCUCUCGGGAGAAAUAGAAAUCAUCAAGGGCUGGCUGCUGCUAUAAUCAAGCUUUGGGAGAAGAGUUUAGUUGUUAAAAUUGCAGUCAAACGUGGAAUUCAGAAUACAAACAACAAGCUGAUGGCUGAGGAGUUAAAGAAAUUAACUGGGGGAGUCCUACUACUUAGAAACAAAUAUUACAUUAUCUUUUAUCGAGGAAAGGAUUUCCUUCCACCUACUGUUGCGGCUGCUUUAGCAGAAAGGCAAGAGAUAACAAAACAGAUCCAAGAUGUUGAAGAGAAAACGCGGAGCAGUCCUGCUGAAGCGACACCAUUGGGCACAGAUGGACAGGCUGUUGCCGGUACUUUAGCCGAAUUUUAUGAGGCUCAGGCUCGGUGGGGAAGAGAAAUAUCUGCUGAAGAACGUGACAAAAUGUUAAAAGAAGCAGCUAGAGCUAAGAUUGAUAGAGUAGUCAAGCGGCUUGAACAUAAACUUGAGCUUUCCCAGGCCAAGAAGCUUAAAGUAGAGAAGAUUUUAGCUAAGAUUGUGGACUCCUGGAUUCCUGCUGGUCCUUCUGAUGACCUGGAAACAAUAACAGAGGAAGAAAGGGUCAUGUACCGUAGAGUUGGAUUAAGAAUGAAGUCAUACCUUCCACUUGGUAUUCGUGGUGUCUUUGAUGGUGUUAUUGAGAACAUGCAUCUGCAUUGGAAACACAGAGAACUUGUAAAGUUAAUAUCAAAGGAAAAAGAACUUGCUUUUGUUGAAGAAACAGCUAGACUUUUGGAAUAUGAAAGUGGUGGGAUUCUAGUGGCAAUAGAUAAAGUGCCAAAAGGUUAUGCUCUUAUUUUCUACCGUGGGAAGAACUAUAGGCGGCCCAUCAGCCUCAGGCCAAGGAACCUUCUGACAAAAGCAAAAGCACUAAAACGUAGAGUGGCACUACAGCGUUACGAGGCUCUCAGUCAGCAUAUGACCGCGCUGGAGACGUCAAUAGAGCAAACGAAAAGGCAAAUUGGUGAUGUUGGUAAUGCAGACAUCAAUACUAGCAACUUGGAGGCGCUUGAUCAGUUCAAUCAUGUCUCAGAAUUUUCCCAAAGUCAAGAUGAAGGUUCAUCGCUGGAGUUUGAUAGUGACGAGGAUGAAGAUCCUGAAUGGGAAAAUGAUGAUGAUUCAGAAUACUCCAGUCUCGAGGACAAUGAAACAGGAUAACAGCAUUUCAUGGCUAAUUCCUUAAGAGGAACUGCAUUAUCAUGGCCAUAGUCCUAUUGAGAUACACUGGAAAUGAAAAAGAAACACAUUAACCAAAAGUGAUAAGAACUACUCAUAUUGACCAAGUAUGAUACUGUAUCUUGCAGCCACAACAAUCAUCUUUCUGAGGUUAAUAAAUCUCCCAAGUAUUUGCUUAUGGCCAUUGAUGGAGCCUUUGGAUCACUGGUCGAUUCAAAAUUUGGAAGGGCUUCUCAUCGUGCAAUUCAUCCAAGCUCAACUGGCCCGAAUUGUACAUUGACGGAUUAGCUGGAGGGCUCGUCUGCUGAUGCCCAGACUUUACUAUCAACUCAUAGCUUUGGACCUUUGGUGAACAUUGUAAUGAGUGUAGAUGUAAUUGCUUUGUCAACCAUUUUUUUGGUUCUUCCAGUUUUUGUAAUUACUUUGCUGAAUCAUAGAGAAAACAAUGAGAAGGAUGCAUCACAUAUCAAGGAAAGAAAGAAGAGAUCUGAAAAGAUAACAAGAAUAAGUUAUCCCUCCAUUUUUAACUAGUAAAAGAUUUUAGGUUUUCUACUGAAUCUAUAAGAAGAGAAUCUUUGUGAUUCCACUAAACUAUAGAGACAACUUUUAUGUGGUUCCUACUUCUUGAGAAACUCUUCUCAUCUUUCAGGG